CUUCCAAGUAGUUCGGUUGCCAUGAGCUUGUGCUGAGUGCAGCUCCUGUCAACAAAGGAAAUGCUCACACAGCAAGCAGAUCACCUCCCACCUCCCCCAAGCUCGCUCAUGCCAUCUGGGCUAAAUCCUUAGACCUGAGGGCCAUAAAGUCAGCAACUGACCGACAGGGGGCAGAGUUGAGCAACACAUUGGUGCUGCUCAAGGGGAGGCUGUGAAUGUGACUCGCUGUUGAGAACCGCAGAGGGGAGCCACGUGACUUCUACCUCUAAGCCUCCAACUGCCGGGAAAGGAAAUCGAAUUUAUGGAGUACACCACUGGGGCAGUGGGCUAUGCAGGAGCAAAGGCACCGCCUGCAGCAUUAGUGAAAAGCGUCUUUAUAAAGCCUCACGAACCUUCACCUCCAAUUGAUCCACAUCAAACUGGUCGUUAUCGUCUGACCAGCUCGCCCCCAAAUACAAGGCUUUUUCCUAAGUUGUCAUGUUUGCAGGGAACUAGGAACAAACACCCUUUGACAAGCGGGGGUCGCAUUGUAAGGCUCCUCAUCCAGCAGAGCGAGGGCUGUGUGUGCCCGAGCUGCCUGCCACAGUCUUCCCAACACACACGGCUGGAGAACAGGGGACUGUGGACACAGUGGAUUCUGAAGUGGGGUUACCGGCAGCUUUCAGCAUUGAGGACUGGAGCUGGGCAAGCUUCUGACCCACGUUGGAGAGGGUGGAACCCCGGGAGGAGUGGGCGUCCCUGGAUGUCACCCAGUGUUCAUGCAGAGGCCGUGCACCAGAUUUCACCCAAAAUACGCCAGGUGAGUUUGUCUAGAAAAGGUUAAACUGAGGGCCUGACUUGUGUGAGUGUUGGGGGCAGAAUUAAAAUUUCCUGGGAGUAUUUGUGGUAGUGAUGGGGCACGGAGAAGCAGGCAUGAGGUGUGUACAUCCUAUUCAAAAUGUCUUCUAUAUUCUAACCUGUUUUUUUCUUCAGUAGCUCUAUGACCACCAUCACCAUCACCACAGACUAUUUCUAUGGGCCAGCUUGGCAAGCUAUGGUGCCUGUCUUGGUUAGGGUUUGCACUGCUGUGAAGAGACACCAUGACCAAGGCAACUCUUAUAAGGUCUACUUUAAUAGGGGCUGGCUUACCAGUUCAGAGGUUCAGUCCAUUAUCAUCAAGGCAGGAGCAUGGCAGAGUCCAGGCAGGCCUGGGGCAGGAGGAGCUGAGAGCUCUGCAUCGUCAUCUGAAGGCCAUUAGGAGAAGACUGGCUCCCACGUGGUUAGGAGGAAGGUCUUAAAGCCCACCCUCACAGUGACAUACUUCCUCCACCAAGGCCACACCCACUCCAACAAGGCCACACCUCCUAAUAGUGCUACUCCCCGGGCUACUUCCUGAGCCAACCACCACAGUGCCCACCCGUGGAAUCAGACACCACUCCUGAUGGCGCUGAGGAGUUGCACAAGGCAGAUGACCUCCAUGCCGAUGUCACAUCCACCAGCAAGAUCCUUACCCUUAAUCCCUCCCUCUGCAUCCUUUUGGUUUGGUGUCUUUGGAGAACCCAUUGCCAUUCCUGGUUCACAGAGGACGGUGAUACCGGUACAGUUAAAGGACUGCCACCUCAGUUAAAGUCACCCACUUGAGAUAAAAAGAGUUGAGAUUUAUACCCAGAAAUUCAGCUUGCAAUCAGUGGUAGGAGUAGUUCCAGAGGGAAGGCUGCAUGUGUGUGUGUGUGUGUGUGUGUGUGUGUGUGUGUGUGUGUAUUGUGUGUGCGUGUGUAUACAUAUGCUUGUAUGUAUGCAUGGCCUGCCGCUCUACUCUCAGUCCCUGGAGUAUAGCAGGGAACAGGGUAUUCUAAGCCCAGGGCUCACUAGUCUGACAGCUGAGGCCAGAUCCUACGCUAAGUAUUUGCAGUCAGGCUAGGAUUUCGAGUCUGAGGUGACAUCUAGCCUUCCUGGGGUAGCCAGGUCCCUGGUCACUCACCUCUCACCUAAGGAAUGUCUACAGGAGGCAACUGAACCCACAGGCCUCUCCUGAGCUAUGAGUUGGGGCGAGUUAUUCCAUCCUUCCAUACCUCAGUCACCCCUCCCGAAGUGUGAUAAUAAUUCCGUUAUUAAGCUAAAGUUCUCCCAGGCUAAUGUAGCUUGCAGGUCUAGAACAUGCCUGGAUGGAGCUCAUUCUUGUCACUGCCACCAGCACACAGUUCAGACAGUCUGCUGGCCACAGGAGCUGGCUUCUCCUCCCACUCUUCCUUUCUCUAGAGCCAAGUGCAAGGGGUCACCAAGGGAGGAAGUCAAGAGACAGUCUGGUGAGCACAUCCAGCAUGUCCCCAGACCUCGAAGUGCAAGUGUUGCACAGCCGGGUCUCCUCAGGUUGUUGGGGCCCAAGGGGACAGGAGCAUCAGAUGAGAGGAAGUGCUGGCAGGGGCAGCAAGGGGACACAGCGGAUAGACUCCGACUAGGUUCACUCCAGAAGGAAUGAUACAGGAGAGCCUCACCCACUGCUCUCCAAAGCCCCAAGUCAGGGAGCUGUGACCUCAGAGUCUGACCAGCGGAAUUCAAGAUGGUUGCCUAGCUCUGAUUGUAUGGUGUAGGAUACAGGUGUUUUCAGAUUCUGUCCUGACUUUCUGUCUCUUUCUGUCCAUCUCUCUGAAUGCCGUACAGGCCUGCUGGCCUCUGAACUCCUAACUCUCUGCCUUGGUUUCUGGCUUUUCUCAUCCUCCAGUCCCACAACUCUCCUGGGACUCCAUCAUGGUUGACAAUGAAGAGAGAGGUUCACAAGCAUGGAACGGGGCUCGGGGGCUAUGGGACUGUGGCUACUAUACAGUGAAGUCGGGCUCUUGGGGGUGCCAAGGGGCUUGAGGUCAGAUGUGUGGCUCAAGAGCUCAGCCCUGCCAGGUAAUGACCCAGAAGAACUAGCCAGUGCCAAGGUCGGAUGUGCCCCAGUGAGAACACGGGGCCGGCUGAGGCCACUAAGAGACGUGCAAGGGUGCACCGCCCUGGGCACUGGCCAGGUUCAUCCUGGCACAGAUGCCUGGUGUUGGCAGUCAUGGCAUCUUGAGAGGCAGCCUUACCAGAAUAACAGGUGAGGAGCAGAGGGGACAAUGGUUCCCAUGGCCAAGCUGAAUCAUCUGUCAUGGCCAAGUGACAUAGGACUGUGUUGUACUCUCUGACCCCAAAGAAUACAAGGCCUCUCUACCCACAACUCCACGUGUGACACUAGUGUCUGGAGCGACCAACCCUCUAGGCUCUCUGCCCCUGCAUCUCUGGGGAAUGCCCAAAUCCUCACCCUCAGCCUUCUUUGUACCAUUACCCCACCCUCAGACACCUAGGCUGCCCAGUAACUCUGGGCUCCAGGCCAAGAAAGGGUGGCCAGGGUCCCUGGAAGUCUCACCGACAUCUUUCACAUACCAUUUUCAGUUUCCGAGCUGUGUGGGCUCAAUCCAGUACUUGAUCGAUCUGAGUCUCAGACCUCUCCUCAGCAGAAACAGCAUAUUCUGCUUUUUAAAAAGGACCCAAGGGGGGUUGGGGAUUUAGCUCAGUGGUAGAGCGCUUGCCUAGCAAGCGCAAGGCCCUGGGUUCAGUCCCCAGCUCCGAAAAAAAGAAAAAAGAAAAAAGAAAAAGAAGCAGAAGAAAUAGAGUAGCUGGUGGGGGCAGAGCAGGCUGGAGCACACUGCUCCCGUUUCUGCAUCUGUGGAAUGGGUACAGGCCAUAGACCACUCAGAAGGUCUCUGUGAUGGCGCCAGUGGAGGACAACCUGGCAAUUAUCUCUGGGCACCCUCCCACCCACUCAUCUAACAAAAUCCGACAUCUAAGUUCUGCAUCUUAACACAGCUGGCAGGGACAGGCAUAGUUCUGGGGACUGGGAAUUCGCAGGGUCUCUCCUGCGGAGUCAGGCUUCAGCCUCUGAACUAAGCUGGAAUGCAAAGCCCUAUUCCUAUGUGGCUGCCCAAGGCCAGCAGGCUUCUCCUCACAAACCCUUCCCACAGGGCACCGGAAGAGGCCUUGCAGUGCCACACAGGAUUCACCCAAGCAAUCUGAGAAGCCACGUGGAGGCUGCAGAAUCGUUUUAACCUGGCCUCAGAAGUCACAGUGACAUGUUCUUACUGUCCUGCUGGGCUUUGAAGGGACUGUGACCAGGCCCUCCCUGCCCAGUAGAGAGGGCUCUCUCCGUGGCAACAGGAAACAAAACAGACGUAACCCGGACCUCAGUCACCCAGGAAGCAUGAUCUCAGAUCACUCUCUCUCUUCUAUGAGAAUAUUAAAGAUUAGAAGUCAGGUAAUCUGCCCAAAGUCACACAGUGAGGGUCAUGAUUCAGCCCCGGUGCAUGGGUUCCACAAGGCACACACAAUCAGCCAGAUCUGUUCGGUCGCAGAGCCCGUUACUUUAAGAGCAGCUCCCUCUGUGUGUGUGUGUGUGUGUGUGUGUGUGUGUGUGUGUGUGUGUGUGUGUGUGAUGUAUAUAAUAUAUAUUUUAAAUACGUGUGUAUGUAGAGGUCUCUGUUCAGUUGCCUACAGAGGCCAGAAGAGGGAGGAAGAUCAUCUGGAGCUGGAGUUACAGGCAGUUGUGAGUCCUCCUCGACCUGGUCCCCACUCUGUCGUCAAAAGACUGGCCUGGGUUCAGUUCCCUUUCCAGUGCUGUGAUUCAACAGCAGGGACAAAGUACAGUCACACAGAGCUGGGGGUGCUCAAGUCCCAUCUGCAGAGGUGCUUCAACCCUGCAGCACCACACUAUUGGCCAGACAGGGGUCCCCAAUGUAGGUGGGGACUAGGGUGGAGUUGAACUUAGGUCCUCUGGAGAGCAACGAGCUCUCUUAAGCCCUGAGCUGUCCUUCCAGUCCCAGAGCUCCCUCUUCAUUUUGGUCUAGCUCUCUGCUUCUCAGUUACCCAUAACCAACUCCGCUCUGAGCAUAUUAAAUAGAAAACUCCAGAAAUAAACAAUUUCUUUUUAAAAAAAUAUUUAUUUAUUAUGUAAGUAUACUUGUAGCUAUCUUCAGACACACCAGAAGAGGGCAUCAGAUCCCACUACAGAUGGUUGUGAGCCACCAUGUGGUUGCUGGGAUUUGAACUCAGGACCUCUGGAAGAGCAGUCAGUGCUCUUAACCACUGAGCCAUCUCUCCAGCCCAACAAUUGCUAAGGUAUCUUGAUUUUUUGGUUGGUUGUUUAGUUGGUUGGUUUGUUAGCUUCUUUGAUACAAGGCCUCCUGGAACUCAUUAUGUAGUCCAGGCUGGCCUCAAACUCACAGAGAUCCACUUGCCUCUGCAUCCUGAGUGCUAGGAUUAAAAACCUGGGCUACUGUGCCCAGCCAGUUCCUAAGUUUUAAAUUGUUCAGCCAUUCUUAAUAAUAGGAUAAAAUUUUCUCACCGUCACACUUCGUCUUGCCCACACCCUCCAUGUACUGCUUCCACACAACUCAGGCUGCCUUUAGACACUCAGUAGAUAUGAAAUAAGCUUGUCAUGGUGUCAUCAUGGGGACAAUGAUUUAUGACAGUGUAUUGUCGGUUGCUAUUUUUUU